AUAAUAACGAAAAGAUCAACAGAGAUAAAAAGAUGAGAGCUGAUGGACUUGGGGAAAAUAAAGAGGCCAGCAUAUGAAAGCAAUACUUUUCAAGAUUAGGCAUUAGAACUUCAAUAUGAUCAAAAGUAGUUUUUAAUUUGAGAGAGAGAGAAUCAAAACUGCUAUUACAUUACUAGAGUGGUAGCAACUGAACUCAGAACAAACGAUGAAUGGGGUUCCAUGAAGGACACUUUCCACAGCUACGAGGAAGCCUCCCUCUGAUGCUGCUCCUCCAGUCACUUCUUUACGAACUGUAUCCACAAACAAAGUUACCUGAGUGACCCUCUGUCUUGCUUCCCUAAACAAAUCUAACUAAAGGUAAAGGGACUCCUUUGGAGAUUGUUACAUGAACAGCAUGACUCAGACUCCGUGGGACUUGCGGUCAUAAUCCUGAUGAGCAAAAUAGGAAAAUGAGGUAGGCAACGCCAUACAGGAUGGAACCACUUAACUUCGAACUCUGACUGAGAAUGACAGGAAACCAACUCAAAACUCAAUGUCAGCAACAACUGGAACCAUGGCCUCAC
rnacentral:lncRNA from 1 species